GCAGGAUGCCGCGCCUUGGCUUUCAGCUACGGGUUGACGAAGUACAUGGCGUUUUAAAUCCAUUGAAAAAUACAGGCGAUUUUAAACGUACCAUGCCUCUGUGUCAUUUGGUGCUGUAAGCAGGUGCUGUAGGGCAUCCACCUGACAUGUGAUGUAAUGGCAGAGUCUCUAGAUGCCAUCCAAGCUCAGCUGUCAAUAUUGCAGGACCCUCAAAGGAGUACUGUACACAAGCUUAUUGCCUUAGAAGAGCUGUGUGAUAGCUACAAGGAUGGCUUCAGCACUGAUGCCCUUGAGCUCAUUUUU